CUCUUUUACAAUCUCUUCCAUGUUGGUAAGCACCAGGUCCAGCAACGCUUCACCUCUUGUUGGUCUGUCCAUUACCUAAACCAGAAAGAUAUUGUCAGUGGACUCCAAGAGUCUCCUGGGUCACUUGCAGAUCACAAUGUUGUUUUCUAGCAGAUAUCUGAGUGGUUGAAAUCUCCCAUCCAGAUGAGAACCCGUGAGCACAAUGCCUCUUGCAGCUGAAGCAAGAAGGCCUUGUCAACAGCUCCCCUUGAUCAGGCAGCUUGGAGUAGACCCUGACCACCAGAUGCCCUUUACUGGCCCUGUCCCUAAUCUUAACCCACAAGCUCUUAACCUGUUCCUGACUGUUUCUCAGGGGCAGCUCUCAGCAGAUUAUCCACUUCUUAACAAGAAGAGGGCCACUCCCCCACCUCUCCAAUUUGCCUAUCCCUUCUAAAAAGUUUACAGCCCUCAAUCAUGGUAUUCCUCUUGUGAGUCAUCCCACCGUGUUUCCAUGAUAGCAAUAAGAUUGUAGUUUUCCAAUUGCACCACAGUUUCCAAUUCCUCCUGCUUACUUCCCAUGAUGUGUGCAUUGGUACAGAGGCAUUUCAGCUGAAAGUGCCAAAGGUCACAUCUCUGUUUGCCUUGGACCCUUUAUAGAUACAGAUAUAAAACCAGAUAAAUAUGACUGUUUGGAGCUAAAUGCGUGUGCUGCAAGAGUGUGUUAUUAAUGAGAAAAAAGCCUGAAGGCACAGUGACUCCUAGCUCAUGGCCAGCAGACCAUUGCUGUUGUUCUGGGGAAGCAAAUGGGAAAAGCAGAGCCAGCCAAGGAGCAGACAGCCUACACAGGGAUGGAUUUUGCUCCUGGCCCUUUCUCAGGCAAGGCGAGAGCUUUUCCUGAGUGCAACCCACAAGACUGGAUCCACAGCUCCUCCGCCUGCAGCACUUCAAGACUUCCAGGUUGGAGACAAUGCGUCUGGAAAUUUGGGGCACUUCAGACUGGCCUUUGAUCACCAGAGAUCAAGAGUAUUUCCACCCAUACAAGAUGCAAACAUGAUCUCUGCUGUUGUGACACAAGCUGGGGUGAGCUGUCCUUCCAGCUCCUUCUGCAAAAGUGCCAAGAGCAUGACAAGUGGGGUCCAACAUACUGGUUUUGGCCAGCUCUCCCCAAAGCCAACAGGAGCCUUGAGUCAGGCCACAGGUAGGCGCAGGGCUUUGAGCAAGCUUAAAAAAAUAAAUAAUUACCCAUCCCUGUCCUCAUGGGGAUGCCUCUCAGAUCUUCCUGCAGCUUUCUUCACAGCUUGUUUGGAGCAUUAUGUAGUCUGACCCAAAUUCCAAGAGCACCAUCAGGACAGUUCUCCAGCUGAUGCCGUGGAUGCUCAGUUAGACUACGACACUACCACAGCAGCUUGUAAAUUUGUUUUUCUUCUUUUCGUAGGAGCUUCCAAUGACUCAAAGAGCAAUCAUUGGAUGAUAUAUCAAACUCCAACUGCUAGAUAAAGAAGAGAAAUCGGAGUGCCUGCAAGGAUACCAGCUAUUGUUGUAUCAUCAUAGCUCUUCUGUAACAUUUUCUUCUCAUGAGGUGAUAUGAAGUGCAUGGAGAGGAGUAAGUUAUAAAGUUGUACUAAUGUGAUUGUUUGGGAUGUUAAAACAAAGUCAACAAUUCCUUUACAAACCAUCCCAGCUUCUGGGCAGAUAUCCCUGGAAGCUUCAGGAGUCCUCUUUGAUCCUGGCUGCCCCAUAAAGAAACAUCGUUUAUACUGAAUUAAUUAGCUGCCACUUAACCCUGGCGCCAAGAGUUGAUGUCAUGAGGCAAAACAAAAUGGAGCUAAUGAAAUCAAUAACAUCAUUAAAAUAACUCACAGCAGAGUUACUGACUGCCGUGCCGACUGUGCUUAUGGACCAAUUGCUCAGCACGUAAAGGGACUUCUGCAAGAACAUGUUCAAGCUAUGAAUGGCAGCCAGCAGCCAACUUGACAUCACUCUGCUCAGGUGAGCUUUUCCAGGACUGCACAGGGAGGUUGCAUGGGCACAGCCUUGGCCUGGAAGUGUCAGAUUGGUUUGGACAGAUGGCAGUAAGGAGUAGAGGGCAAGGUGCUCCCAAAGCAAAUUUCUGAGUGGGAGUUUUAAGCAGGAAGGUACAUUUAGGUAGAGCUUUUCUACUAUUAAUGAAGCUAGAGUAAGACAUUACUAGGAACAAUGCACACCAUGCACAGGAACAAGCUGACCUGGAAAGAUUAAUCUGUCCCUGAAGGCCUGAAGCAUCUUGGUUGGCUGCUGAGAAGCUGAAGCCCUGAUCAACAGUGCUUAAAGAGCAUGGACCACAGUGAGCUCUGGCUCAGUGAGAACUUCUUGAUGCUGUGCUUGCAGGCCUGAGCCCCCAUCAUUGGAAACACACUGUAAUGUCAAUGCUUAAUUGAAUGAAAGAUCUAACUGCAUGCUUCUUACACAGAAUUUCCAAAUGUUUGCAAAGUCUAAGCCCCCUCACUGUGCAAAGAUAUAAUAGAUACCGUCAAAAAGUCUUAAGACAGACAAACAGCAAUGGAGCCUGAACGGUUACUUCAUGUGUGAGAACGUCAGGCUGUGACCUGCAGGAAAAGAGAGGGCAUGAGGGAGCCAGAUGGCUGAGUGACCCCAGUGCUGUUCCCAGAAGAAGCAGGAGCAGGCAAGGAAAAAUCUGGUGGCUGGAAGGAAAAGUGAGCCCUAGGCAGGUCCCUCCAUGCUCUGGGUCUCUACUGUUCCCUCUCCCACCAGCCCCCUUUUCUCCUCUGAGCCAGCUUCUCAUCAUACCAGACUGCCCAACUCCCACUCCCCCACCAUCUCAUCCACCACAGCUGCAAUUUUCCAACUCCGUGCUGGAAUCCGGCAGUGUUUUGCACCUGGAAGGCUGCAUCUGACACCCACCUGUGAGGCAUCAGUCCAUGAAGACUGGGGCUCUGCUUUGGUUUUGCGGUCACUGCUGCUAAUGCGAGAAAACGGACAGGGCAAAAAACAGGAGAUAAAAGGCAGUCAAAGCACUGCUGAAAAAAUACCAGAUAGUUGUAACUCUUAGGACUAACCUUCGGUGUCAGAGGAGUCAAUGCCUCUAUUUUGAAAGGAUGAGCCAUUUUGCGGGUAUAACAGCAAUGCACUUCAUAAUCCCUUCCAUAUUUGGCUUUAUUGGCUUAUUGUGCAGAGCUAUUAGAAUCAGGAUCAUCUCUUAUGAAGCUGUUAAUGGGAUGCAAAUUGCAUGAAAGAUUUCUCCGCAUCAAUAGAAAACAACCUAGUAAUAAGUUAUUGCAUAAAAAUCUGCAUAAAAAUCUGCUACAAAAGAAAUACUUCUAAAGAAGCAAAAAAUCCUGCGUGACUGAGGAGGAAAUAUGCUUUACAAAGUGCAAAUGAGUACUGGUUUUAGAGGUAAAGGUGACCUACCUCAGAGCUGCUCAUAUCCCAAAGAACAGCUGUGCCCUAGCUACCCAUGUAUAGUGAAACAGUGCUUCACACAACAUCAUGGCUACGGCCAGGUAAAAAACAGUGUGAUGAAUGUUUUAAGCACUGAUAGAUGCAAGUUCAGGCUGACCAAACCUGCAUCUGUGCUGAAUUCAGCAAGGAGCUGUGGCCAAAAUAUGUACAUUUGAAUAAAAUGAAAAGUCUAAUCAGCUCUCUGUAUGUGAUGCACUCCUACUUUUCAUGCUGACACGAUGUUUUGAGACUAGAAUUGGACUUACAGUGAGCUAGAAACACCUAAAACCAGCAUUAAGUGCUGAUCAGUAAGUCAAGAGAAAUAUUGUGCUGAGUCUGUCACAUCGCUUUGCUGUUUGUUUUUCCUUUUUGGUGUUGACAUCAAUGUGACUGUGAUUUCAGCUGUGGUUUCCAGAGAGCACUGCAGCGUGCCUGCGGCUGGAAGGAGCCUUUUGCUGCCAUUCAGCCCAUGCCACCUAGCACAACCACGGGGCACUACUGCUUCUCCCACGUGGCGUACACCCCGCUCCCCCGAGCAUCAGAGCCUCCAGCACAUCACACACCAUCACUCUCCCACAUUAUGCCACAGAAAUGCUCUUUGGUCUCCUGUUUAACGUCCAGCACCAAAGCAGUGGGAAAUACCAGACCACGCAGUACCCGGUGACCUGUCCCAGUAGAACUGAGCUGCCCUGGGUACACCUGCUCUGCAAAACCUAGAGGACAGAAGAGAAAAGCCACAUUUCUGGGAUUCCUUCUUCCACCCAAAUUCCCUACGUGCAACAGGAGCCAGGGGACUGCAGCCUGGGAUGCUGCUCUGUCUCAAGCCCAAGGGGCCAGGCUUUUCCUGAAAUAACAUCCACCUCUUGCUUUGCCGCCUG
rnacentral:lncRNA from 1 species